rnacentral:lncRNA from 1 species
CAAACUAAAAUUUACAAGAAUGCAAUUUUCUUUUGAAUAUGUGCGAAAAAGCACAAGCUUAAUUCCAUCCUCUGUGUUUCUUAAUUAAGGGUAGCAGUGAGCUUCUAACAAUAAACUACAUAGCUGCAACCUGCUACCCCCUUGAUUGAAUCAUCAAUCAUCUUCUAAAAGCAUGUCUGUGUCCAAUUGUAUUAGCAUAGAGAAGAAGAUAUUAUACAGCAUGGACCAGAAAAAAUAUUGGUUCUCACCCAUGUUUACUGCUUUCCUACCCCUCUCUACUUUAUGUACAGAACAACGGAGUUAAAAUGCCGAUGUGGACAAACAUGCCACGAGAGUAUCCUCGCGUUCAAUCACGGGGUCUUUCUUGGUUGAUGGCCAUGCACAGUAAAGGGCAUUGUCUAUCAGGUGGCUGGAGUGGAUGCAGAUGCGAUCAUCGAAAAAGCUGAGGGGUGAUCCUCACUAACAUCUUGAUGGCUGCCACCAAGCAUAAUGCCACUACCGGCUUUUUCAUCAGCCCCCCCACUUGACACCGAGUGAUUACUGGCAGGGAUACUAUCUCCAUCUGAGCUCAAAAAUCUUUGCAUCCUGAGGUAUCUCUCAGAGGCAUCUUGGAGCAUCCUCAUCAUGCCUCCAGAAUCCGAACCAGGUGAUAACUCAUCCUCCCUCUCUGGCUGGAUAUUCAGGUCAAUUUGGCCUUUAAAAGGAGAAGUUGAGGAUUUCAUUCUGUUAGGAUCAUCAUCGG